UGCCAGCAGCCGCGGUAAUACGAAGGGGGCGAGCGUUGUUCGGAAUUACUGGGCGUAAAGGGCGCGUAGGGGGUCUUUUAAGUUAGGCGUGAAAGCCCCGGGCUCAACCCGGGAACUGCGCUUAAUACUGGAAGACUAGAAAACGGAAGAGGGUAGUGGAAUUCCCAGUGUAGAGGUGAAAUUCGUAGAUAUUGGGAAGAACACCAGUGGCGAAAGCGGCUACCUGGCUCGAUACUGACGCUGAGGUACGAAAGUGUGGGGAGCAAACAGGAUUAGAUA
rnacentral:rRNA from 1 species